AUCUUUUUAGUAUAAAGUUAGUAUCAGUGAUUUCCAAUCACCAGGCCUUGGUUAAAAUCCAAGAAAAGAUA
rnacentral:tRNA from 1 species